rnacentral:rRNA from 1 species
GUUGAACGCUGGCGGCGUGCCUAAUACAUGCAAGUCGAGCGAACGGACGAGAAGCUUGCUUCUCUGAUGUUAGCGGCGGACGGGUGAGUAACACGUGGAUAACCUACCUAUAAGACUGGGAUAACUUCGGGAAACCGGAGCUAAUACCGGAUAAUAUUUUGAACCGCAUGGUUCAAAAGUGAAAGACGGUCUUGCUGUCACUUAUAGAUGGAUCCGCGCUGCAUUAGCUAGUUGGUAAGGUAACGGCUUACCAAGGCAACGAUGCAUAGCCGACCUGAGAGGGUGAUCGGCCACACUGGAACUGAGACACGGUCCAGACUCCUACGGGAGGCAGCAGUAGGGAAUCUUCCGCAAUGGGCGAAAGCCUGACGGAGCAACGCCGCGUGAGUGAUGAAGGUCUUCGGAUCGUAAAACUCUGUUAUUAGGGAAGAACAUAUGUGUAAGUAACUGUGCACAUCUUGACGGUACCUAAUCAGAAAGCCACGGCUAACUACGUGCCAGCAGCCGCGGUAAUACGUAGGUGGCAAGCGUUAUCCGGAAUUAUUGGGCGUAAAGCGCGCGUAGGCGGUUUUUUAAGUCUGAUGUGAAAGCCCACGGCUCAACCGUGGAGGGUCAUUGGAAGCUGGAAAACUUGAGUGCAGAAGAGGAAAGUGGAAUUCCAUGUGUAGCGGUGAAAUGCGCAGAGAUAUGGAGGAACACCAGUGGCGAAGGCGACUUUCUGGUCUGUAACUGACGCUGAUGUGCGAAAGCGUGGGGAUCAAACAGGAUUAGAUACCCUGGUAGUCCACGCCGUAAACGAUGAGUGCUAAGUGUUAGGGGGUUUCCGCCCCUUAGUGCUGCAGCUAACGCAUUAAGCACUCCGCCUGGGGAGUACGACCGCAAGGUUGAAACUCAAAGGAAUUGACGGGGACCCGCACAAGCGGUGGAGCAUGUGGUUUAAUUCGAAGCAACGCGAAGAACCUUACCAAAUCUUGACAUCCUUUGACAACUCUAGAGAUAGAGCCUUCCCCUUCGGGGGACAAAGUGACAGGUGGUGCAUGGUUGUCGUCAGCUCGUGUCGUGAGAUGUUGGGUUAAGUCCCGCAACGAGCGCAACCCUUAAGCUUAGUUGCCAUCAUUAAGUUGGGCACUCUAAGUUGACUGCCGGUGACAAACCGGAGGAAGGUGGGGAUGACGUCAAAUCAUCAUGCCCCUUAUGAUUUGGGCUACACACGUGCUACAAUGGACAAUACAAAGGGCAGCGAAACCGCGAGGUCAAGCAAAUCCCAUAAAGUUGUUCUCAGUUCGGAUUGUAGUCUGCAACUCGACUACAUGAAGCUGGAAUCGCUAGUAAUCGUAGAUCAGCAUGCUACGGUGAAUACGUUCCCGGGUCU